rnacentral:tRNA from 1 species
GGUCCCGUAGCUCAGCCUGGUUAGAGCACUACUCUGAUAAGGUAGGGGUCCCAAGUUCAAAUCUUGGCGGGACCA